AGUCACUGACAUUAGAUACCCGUGUAGUCCAGGGUGUAAACGCUGCAGACUUGGUGUUGGAGGCCCUUUGGGGGCAUUCAGUGCCGGAGAGAAGUUGUUAAGUCUGCUACUUGGGGAGUACGUCCGCAAGGAUGAAACUUAAAGGAAUUGGCGGGGGAGCACCGCAACGGGAGGAGCGUGCGGUUUAAUUGGAUUCAACACCGUAAACUCACCAGGGAAGACUGUUACAUGAAGGCCGAGCUAAAGACUCUGCUAGAUUUUCAG
rnacentral:rRNA from 1 species